GCGGCCUAUCAGCUUGUUGGUGAGGUAAAGGCUCACCAAGGCGACGACGGGUAGCUGGUCUGAGAGGAUGAUCAGCCACACUGGGACUGAGACACGGCCCAGACUCCUACGGGAGGCAGCAGUGGGGAAUCUUGCGCAAUGGGCGAAAGCCUGACGCAGCCACGCCGCGUGCGGGAUGAAGGCCCUAGGGUUGUAAACCGCUUUUAACAGGAACGAAAAUGACGGUACCUGUAGAAUAAGGUGCGGCCAACUACGUGCCAGCAGCCGCGGUGACACGUAGGCACCAAGCGUUGUCCGGAUUUAUUGGGCGUAAAGAGCUCGUAGGCGGUUCAGUAAGUCGGGUGUGAAAACUCUGGGCUUAACCCAGAGACGCCACUCGAUACUAUUGUGACUAGAGUUCGGUAGGGGAGACUGGAAUUCCU
rnacentral:rRNA from 1 species